ACCCGCUGAACUUAAGCAAGCGGAGGAAAAGAAAACAACUGUGAUUCCCCCAGUAGCUGCGAGCGAAAAGGGAAGAGCUCAAAACCGAAUCUCCUCGGCUCGUUCCGGGGCGAAUUGUGGUUUAUGGAUCGAAUCUACGGCCGUAAUGCUUGGCGAGGUCUGUUGGAACACGGCGCCAUAGAGGGUGAGAGCCCCGUAGCUGAGCGGAGCGGUCAAUAAGAGUCGACUCCUCGAGUCGCACUGUUUGAGAGCACAGUGCUAAGUGGGAGGUGAGUACCUUCUAAAGCUAAAUAUCAGUCUGAGACCGAUAGCAUACAAGUACCGUGAGGGGAAAGUGCAAAAGAACUUUGAAAAGAGAGUUAAAAGAACCUGAAACCGGUAAUGGGGAAGGGUUCGGGCGAUCCGCGGUUAAUGCCGCCUCACUUUGCCUGGGCAUUGGAUCGGUGCGUUUGGAGCGGAUUUCAUUCGCCUUUAUGUGCCGUGAAUGUGUUUGGGUGGAGGUACUGCGGUAGACCGCCUGGGACUGUUUAUUUGCGCCUCAGAAGCCCCCGAGUAUGGUGCCACGGCCGGAUUACUGGUUUUGGUCAAAUGCUUGGUGCGGUGGAGGUGCGGGUGAACCGCACA
rnacentral:rRNA from 1 species